rnacentral:rRNA from 1 species
UACGUAGGUGGCAAACGUUGUCCGGAUUUACUGGGCGUAAAGAGCGCGCAGGCGGUCGUCCAAGUCGAAUGUGAAAGCCCCGGCUCAACUGGGGAGGGUCAUUCGAUACUGUUCGACUCGAAGGCAGGAGAGGGAAGUGGAAUUCCGGGUGUAGUGGUGAAAUGCGUAGAUAUCCGGAGGAACACCAGUGGCGAAGGCGACUUUCUGGCCUGUUCUUGACGCUGAGGCGCGAAAAGCUAGGGGAGCAAACGGGG